rnacentral:rRNA from 1 species
ACCAUCGACGCCGCGUGCGGGAUGAAGGCCUUCGGGUUGUAAACCGCUUUCAGUAGGGAAGAAGCGAAAGUGACGGUACCUACAAAAGAAGCACCGGCUAACUAUGUGCCAGCAGCCGCGGUAAUACAUAGGGUACAAGCGUUGUCCGGAAUUAUUGGGCGUAAAGAGCUCGUAGGUUGUUCGUUACGUCGGAUGUGAAAAUCUGGGGCUCAACCCCAGACCUGCAUUCGAUACGGGCGAACUGGAGUGUGGUAGGGGAGACUGGAAUUCCUGGUGUAGCGGUGGAAUGCGCAGAUAUCAGGAGGAACACCAAUGGCGAAGGCAGGUCUCUGGGCCAUUACUGACACUGAGGAGCGAAAGUCUGGGGAGCGAACAGGAUUAGAUACCCUGGUAGUCCAGACCGUAAACGGUGGGCGCUAGUUGUGGGAACCUUCCACGGUUUCUGCGACGCAGCUAACGCAUUAAGCGCCCCGCCUGGGGAGUACGAUCGCAAGAUUAAAACUCAAAGGAAUUGACGGGGCCCCGCACAAGCAGCGGAGCAUGCGGCUUAAUUCGACGCAACGCGAAGAAACCUUACAAGGCUUGACAUAUAGGGAAAAGCAAUAGAGAUAUUGUGUCCGCAAGGGCUCUUUACAGGUGGUGCAUGGGUGGCGGCAGGUUCGUGUCGUGAGAUCGUGGGUUAAGUCCCGG